AUGGCGUCGGCCGGCGGCAGCCUGCUGGUCCUCCCGGCCGUCCUCCACCUCCGCCGGUCAGACGCCGACUUCACCGCCGCGCUGCGCGAGCGGUUCCGCGUCCUCGACUUCUUCGCCUCCGGCCAGCCCCUCCCGGCGUUCCUCGCCGCGGCCGCGGCCGCGCCGGAGCCCCCGCGCGCCGCGGUCGUCGUGGGCGGCGGCUCCGUGCGCGUGGACGCCUCGUUCCUCGACGCCGUCCCGUCCCUCCGCUGCGUCGUCAGCACGGGGGCCGGCGUCGACCACAUCGACCUCGACGAGUGCGCGCGCCGCGGCGUCGCCGUCGCCAACUCCGGGGAGGUCUACUCCACCGACGUCGCCGACUACGCCGUCGGCUUGCUGCUCGACGUGCUCCGGCGCGUGUCGGCGGCGGAGCGGUACGUCCGGCGCGGGUCCUGGCCGGCGCAGGGCGACUAUCCCCUCGGAUCCAAGCUUGGUGGCAAGCGUGUUGGCAUCAUCGGCUUGGGGAACAUCGGCUCACGGAUUGCAAAGAGGCUUGAAGCUUUCGGCUGCAUCAUCCACUACAACUCGAGGAAACCAAAGGAUUCAAUAUCUUACAAGUACUUCGGAAAUGUUCACGAUCUUGCUGCUGAAUCCGACGUGCUCAUUGUCGCAUGUGCACUAAACAAGGCGACGCGGCACAUCGUGAACAAGGAUGUGCUGGAGGCCCUAGGAAAGGGCGGUGUGGUCAUCAACAUCGGCCGAGGAGCAAACAUCGACGAGGCGGAACUGGUCAUUGCACUCAGGGAGGGAAAGAUUGCAGGCGCGGGCUUUGACGUCUUCGAGCACGAGCCCAAGGUGCCAGCAGAGCUGUUCUCCAUGGACAAUGUGGUCCUGUCACAUCACGUGGCGGUGUUUACGGAGGAGUCCAGGUCGGACCUGCGCGCACACACCGUGGGCAACCUUGAAGCCUUCUUCUCCGGUCAGCCGUUGCUCACUCCAGUGGAUGCUGAUUCUCUAGUGCAGUGA
rnacentral:rRNA from 1 species